rnacentral:pre_miRNA from 1 species
GCGGCGGCGGCGGGCAAGAUGGCGGCGGGCCCGGACCCCGCCCCUUCCGCCCCGCCGGGCGCCGCA